rnacentral:lncRNA from 1 species
UGUUGCAUCGUCUUUUUCAGCCGCAGAACUAAAACGAGACCCUAGGCUAGCAGCUAAAACACAAUCGCUGCCAGUAACUCCGACCAUCCUCCUCACUUCAAGUAACGAACCAGCUCCACACUCAGCGGCCACACAUGGACAAAAAAGAAAGCCACACGCACACACACACACACACACAUAGAAAAGAGGGGAACAGUAGCGGAACGAGAAUCAAUUGAGGUUUGGAGUUCGAUUCGAGGUGUUUCUAGUCAUCGAUUUUCCUCCGUAGCUCCGGUUGCGGCUGAUGAUUUCAAAGCCAAUUUUUACACGCUUUUGCAGUGUAACUCAAAGUCUGGAAGCUUGCAAUUCUUGAGUACUAAAGAAAAAUUAUUCUUCUGUGAAGGUCCAAUUUCUCAUGCUCACUUUUAUCUAUUUCUUUUUUAUUAGUUUGGUGAAUGCCUUAGAUUAAUUUGCUUUUGUGUUAGCAUAUCUUAUAUCUCAUUUAUUAUUUUUAUUUAUACUUCGUUCAUGCUUUCAGUUGCAUAGUGAAUUGAAUUUAGACUACUACAUUAGAUACUUAGUGAACAUGAUGCUUAGUUUGAUUGGUCUAGAGUUAUAAGAACAUAGUAGCUCAUCAAGUAAUAAAAGUGAAGAAAAUAAUCUAAAAGCCAUAGGGAAAAUUUGUGCUCAAAUAGACAUACUCUCCAUGAACCUCAUAUUUCAAAUUCAAACGUCAUAUUUUUUGGAAAAAGGAUUUAAUCUCAUAGACUUACUUUUAGUUCAUAUUGGCAGUAGUGUUUCUUUUAAAUUUUCAGAACUUUAGUAGUUAUUGAGAUGGUUUGAAAACUCUUUUAGUCUUUGCAUUCUUUACUGUUAGUUUUUUGCCUUUUCUUUCUUUGUCUUUUCCGUGAUUUUGUAGUAUUUCAAGUCAACGUUCUCCUUUAAGUAUUGUAUUUCCUAUCACUGUAUUUAAUUAGUUAUUUAUAGUAAAUUAAUUAACUAUUAGGGGAAUGCAAUCAAUAGUUUAUGUGAUAUUGCAAACAAGAGAAAGCCUAAGAACAAAUAGUGAAAAUUGCCGAAUUGGUUGUGGGGUUGGACAUUAAGUGCUAAUUGUUUCGUUCUACUAUUUUGACCACUAGGAACAUGCUAGGCCGUCAACACCUGGGUGGGCGAACCUUUAGGCACGUUUUGGAUUUAUUGUCGUGAUUAUGUACACGUUCGUGUGACAUAAUUAUGGUUUCUAAAUGAAUAUUCGUAGCUUGCUUUAGGCCUGUUUAACAUACCAUCGUGGUUGUGUACACGUUCACGCGACAUAAUUACGAUCUUAAAAAAAUCUAAGUAUGCAUUCGCGCAACUUUGGCCAAAAUUUUUUAAUAUUAAUAAAGCGUGAUUAAUUGUGGACACGUACGCGUGACAUGAUUCUUGACGCACCAAACUAAAUGAGUACACGUACGUGUGAUUCGUUUUAGGAUAAUUUUUUAGUUAGAAAAGGGCAAAUACACAUAGGUUCUAAAAUGAGUAACUAGACAAUUUGAUUAAGCCAAGUAUGAUCAAAGUGACCGUGCUAAAAUCACGAAACUCGGAAAUGCCUAACACCGUCUCCCGGGUUAACAGAAUUUCUUACCCUGAUUUCUGUGUUCGCAGACCAUAAAUAAAGUCAACUUCCUCGAUUUGGGAUUUUAUACCAGUGACUUGGGACACCAUAAAUUAUCCCAAGUGACGACUCUGUUUUAAUAUAAAUAAUCACCUUUCGAUUGUCACUUAAAUUGGAAAAAAGUCUCUUACACCCUUUUCGGGGGUAGGAAAAAAGAGGUGUGACAGCUCUGGCGACUCCACUGGGGUGAAGAUCCCAGAAUCUCUGGUUCAGGGUUCAAGAAUUCGAGCUUGUUAAUAUGAUUUUAUUUGGCUUUAUUUAUUGUUAAUAUUAUUGUAUUUUGUGAACCUUUUGUGCUUAUUGCUGUCUAUUUACCGCUUUGGUAUUAUUUGAAUUGUAUAUAACUGUCUUCUUACGCCACCCCUCUGAGUCUUCUGAAAAUAGUGCACACGUUCACGUGGCCCACUUUUUCUGUAGAAGUUAUACUAAAUAGAAUGAGGUUGGGCCAGCAACAAGGCCGGUAGACUUUAGUGCUCCCGGUACAUUCGCCCCUCUUCGGCUCGAGUAGUCCGCUCGGGUAAGCCAGGUCAAGAACACAACCCCAGGUUUAAACUUAGAAUAACAUAACCUCAUGCUGGAUCCCUAGUAAGCACGUUUGUUUGCAUCAUGUGCAUUUGACUUUGGGGACUCAGACAGAGGUUGGGUCCGUCUAGGAUAGGUGUACCCCAAAAAAAAAGACCAUCCUGAUGCAUCUUAUGUGCUACAUGUUACAAUCUUCGAGGGUAAAAUGGUCAUUUUGCAGACCAAUGAUAGCUGAGGGCAAAUAAGGAAAAAGAAAAAAGAAAAAAAGAGAGGCUGAAGUGUGAAAAAUAAAGCAAGUAGGGCCCGAUUAUGUUUUCUGUCACAUUUUGUUAAGAAAAAAAAAACAUGAAAAUCCAAAAACAAAAAAGAUUUUGCACUUUCCCCUCAUUUUUCAAAAAAAAAUCAAAAAAAGGAAAAAGAAAAAAAAAUCCAAAAAGAGUUUACAUGUUUCAUCAUUUUAAAAAAAAAAGACAAAAAAUAUAUUUUUUCUCUAAAUUAGUUAUUUUUUUUUAUUCUCGCUCGUAUCCAAUCUGCCCGAACUACGCAUACCUGAUUCUCGUUUGGGGCGUGAUACGUAGGAAACCCACAUAGGGUCUGGUCUUCCUAGUGAGUCUUAGGUUCUUCGCUUUGCGGGGUCUUAGCCAAAUCUUGCAUUUUUAGCCACCUUUAGCCACAUAGGUUAGUUUUAGAAAAAUAGUCACAAUCAUGUCUUGCAUGUGUCCAACGGGAAGGAUUAUUGUCUCACAUAGCGUUCUAGGUCUUUAACUUAUUUGGUUUUAAUUUUCUCAUACAGGUGUGGGUUUACUUACCGGAUUUUGCGCAUGAUAGACACCUCGGGACCAUCCAGGCAGGAUCGUUCAUUCAGGAGUUGCUUAAGGAGAUUUAUUUUUGUUUUGAGUCUGUUUUUUUACGUCGUCUUUUACCUUCUAGCUUUACAGUAAUGUCGAGUCUUUCGUUAUUGUAUUUCCUAUUUUGUAUCGGAAAAAAUGUGUUAUAAAUCAAAAAUCCAAAAAAAAAAAAGAAAUUUUGCAUUUUUAUAUUUCCAUUAGAAGUUUUCUUUAGAAUACUAAUUCUAGGAAUAAAAAAAAUCAUUUGAGGUGAUUUUCCU